rnacentral:rRNA from 1 species
AUGGCGGUGAGCAACAACAUCACGGCGUGCGUGACGCUGAUGGCGCUCAUCUGCGCCGUCCCCGUCAUCGCCUCGGGGGUGUGGUUCGCGUCGGCGCAGGGGGAGGAGUGCGCGCGGCUGGCGCGCUGGCCUGUGGCCAUCCUGGGCGGCCUCAUCCUCCUGGCGGCGCUGGCGGGCUUCGUCGGCGCCUACUGGAACCGCCGCCGCCUCCUCGCCUUCUACCUCUUCGCCAUGGCGGCGCUCAUCGCCCUCCUCAUCGCGCUCCUCGUCUUCGCCUUCGCGGUCACCCGCGGCUCCGGCGCCUACCCGGUGCUCGGCCGCGAGUACGACGAGUACCGCCUCGACGGCUUCUCCAUGUGGCUGCGCGGGUACGUCUCCGACGACCCCGCCCGCUGGGAGGGGAUUAGGUCCUGCCUCGCCGUCUCUGACACCUGCAAGAAGCUCGCCCGGCAGGCCGGCUACGUCACCGCCGACCAGUUCUACCAGUCCCACCUCACGCCGCUCCAGUCGGGCUGCUGCAAGCCCCCGUCGGUGUGCGGGUUCGGGUACGUGAGCCCGACGGUGUGGACGAACCCGGCGCGGCCGGCGUCGGACCCGGACUGCGGCCUGUGGGGCAACGACCCGGCGCAGCUGUGCUACGAGUGCGAGUCGUGCCGCGCGGGCCUCCUGGCGGCGCUGCGGAGCCAGUGGCACAAGGCCAACAUCGCGCUCGUCGUCGCCACCGUCUCGCUCGUCUUCCUCUACCUCAUCGGCUGCAGCGCAUACAAGAACGCGCACGCCGAGGCCAUCUACCGCCGCUACAAGUGGUGA